GAUGAACGCUAGCUACAGGCUUAACACAUGCAAGUCGAGGGGAAACGGCAUCGAAAGCUUGCUUUUGAUGGGCGUCGACCGGCGCACGGGGGAGUAACGCGUAGCCAACCUGCCCAUCACUUGGGAAUAACCUUGCGAAAGUAAGACUAAUGCCCAAUUACAUCCGACGAAGGCAUCCGAAUGGGAUUAGCGAGUUAUCGGUGAUGGAGGGGGAUGCGUCUGAUUAGCUUGUUGGCGGGGUGACGGCCCACCAAGGCAACGAUCAGUAGAGGUUCUGAGAGGAAGGUACCCCACAUUGGAACUGAGACACGGACCAAACUCCUACGGGAGGCAGCAGUGAGGAACAUUGGUCAAUGGUGGAGAGCCUUAACCAGCCAAGUAGAGUGCAGGAUGACGGCGCUAUGGGUUGUAAACUGCUUUUAUAAGGGAAAAAAGUGGGUAACGUGUAACUUUUUGAAGGUACCUUAUGAAUAAGGACCGGCUAACUUCGUG
rnacentral:rRNA from 1 species